rnacentral:rRNA from 1 species
UACGAAGGGGGCUAGCGUUGUUCGGAAUCACUGGGCGUAAAGGGCGCGUAGGCGGCCCUCCUUGUCGCGUGUGAAAGCCCCGGGCUCAACCUGGGAACGGCGCGCGAGACGGGGGGGCUGGAGUUCGGGAGAGGAGCGUGGAAUUCCCAGUGUAGAGGUGAAAUUCGUAGAUAUUGGGAAGAACACCGGUGGCGAAGGCGGCGCUCUGGACCGAGACUGACGCUGAGGCGCGAAAGCGUGGGGAGCAAACAGG